UACGUAGGUGGCAAGCGUUGUCCGGAAUCACUGGGCUUAAAGCGUGUGUAGGCGGAUGCCUAAGUACCUUGUGAAAUCCCACGGCUCAACCGUGGAACUGCUGGGUAUACUGGGUGUCUUGAGCCACUCAGGGGCUACCGGAACAAAUGGUGGAGCGGUGAAAUGCGUAGAUAUCAUUUGGAACGCCAAUGGUGAAAACAGGUAGCUGGGGGUGUGCUGACACUGAGACACGAAAGCCAGGGGAGCAAACGGG
rnacentral:rRNA from 1 species